ensembl:misc_RNA Metazoa_SRP Metazoan signal recognition particle RNA
UCUGGGCGCGGUGGUGCGUGCCUGUAGUCCCAGCUACUCGGGUGGCUGAGGCGGGAGGAUCACCUGAGCCCAGGAGUUCUGGGCUGUGGUGCGCUAUGCCCAUCAGGUGUCUGCACUAAGUUCAGCAUCAGUGUGGUGACCUCCUGGGAGCGGGGGACCACCAGGUUGCCUAAGGAGGGGUGAACCGGCCCAGGUCGGAAACAGAGCAAGUCAAAACUCCCGUGCUGAUCAGCAGAGGGAAUAGCCGCUGCACUCCAGCCUGGGCAACAUAGAGAGACCCCGUCUCUA